rnacentral:rRNA from 1 species
UACGGGGGGGGCAAGCGUUGUUCGGAAUUACUGGGCGUAAAGGGCUCGUAGGCGGCCAACUAAGUCAGACGUGAAAUCCCUCGGCUUAACCGGGGAACUGCGUCUGAUACUGGAUGGCUUGAGUUUGGGGAGAGGGAUGCGGAAUUCCAGGUGUAGCGGUGAAAUGCGUAGAUAUCUGGAAGAACACCCGUGGCGAAGGCGGCUCUCUGGGACGGUACUGACGCUGAGACGCGAAAGCGUGGGGAGCGAACAGG